rnacentral:rRNA from 1 species
UAGGGAAUCUUCCACAAUGGACGAAAGUCUGAUGGAGCAACGCCGCGUGAGUGAUGAAGGUUUUCGGAUCGUAAAACUCUGUUGUAAGGGAAGAACAAGUACGUUAGUAACUGAACGUACCUUGACGGUACCUUAUUAGAAAGCCACGGCUAACUACGUGCCAGCAGCCGCGGUAAUACGUAGGUGGCAAGCGUUGUCCGGAUUUAUUGGGCGUAAAGCGCGCGCAGGUGGUUUCUUAAGUCUGAUGUGAAAGCCCACGGCUCAACCGUGGAGGGUCAUUGGAAACUGGGAGACUUGAGUGCAGAAGAGGAAAGUGGAAUUCCAAGUGUAGCGGUGAAAUGCGUAGAGAUUUGGAGGAACACCAGUGGCGAAGGCGACUUUCUGGUCUGUAACUGACACUGAGGCGCGAAAGCGUGGGGAGCAAACAGGAUUAGAUACCCCUGUAGUCC